UUUGACCUCAAAUCAGGUAGGACUACCCGCUGAACUUAAGCAUAUCAAUAAGCGGAGGAAAAGAAACCAACAGGGAUUGCCUUAGUAGCGGCGAGUGAAGCGGCAAAAGCUCAAAUUUGAAAUCUGGCUCUUUCAGAGUCCGAGUUGUAAUUUGAAGAAGGUAUCUUUGGGUCUGGCUCUUGUCUAUGUUUCUUGGAACAGAACGUCACAGAGGGUGAGAAUCCCGUGCGAUGAGAUG
rnacentral:rRNA from 1 species